UAAUACAUGCAAGUCGAACGCGUCUCCGUUAAUGAUUUUAGGUGCUUGCACUUGAAAGAUUUAACAUUGAGACGAGUGGCGAACUGGUGAGUAACACGUGGGUAACCUGCCCUUGAAGUAGGGGAUAACACUUGGAAACAGGUGCUAAUACCGUAUAACAACCAAAACCACCUGGUUUUGGUUUAAAAGACGGCUUCGGCUGUCACUUUAGGAUGGACCCGCGGCGUAUUAGCUUGUUGGUAAGGUAACGGCCUACCAAGGCGAUGAUACGUAGCCGACCUGAGAGGGUAAUCGGCCACAUUGGGACUGAGACACGGCCCAAACUCCUACGGGAGGCAGCAGUAGGGAAUCUUCCACAAUGGACGAAAGUCUGAUGGAGCAACGCCGCGUGAGUGAUGAAGGGUUUCGGCUCGUAAAACUCUGUUGUUGGAGAAGAACAGGUGUCAGAGUAACUGUUGACAUCUUGACGGUAUCCAACCAGAAAGCCACGGCUAACUACGUGCCAGCAGCCGCGGUAAUACGUAGGUGGCAAGCGUUGUCCGGAUUUAUUGGGCGUAAAGCGAGCGCAGGCGGUUUUUUAGGUCUGAUGUGAAAGCCUUCGGCUUAACCGGAGAAGUGCAUCGGAAACCGGGAGACUUGAGUGCAGAAGAGGACAGUGGAACUCCAUGUGUAGCGGUGAAAUGCGUAGAUAUAUGGAAGAACACCAGUGGCGAAGGCGGCUGUCUGGUCUGUAACUGACGCUGAGCUC
rnacentral:rRNA from 1 species